AAGAGGAGGACGUGCCUCCCCGUUUUCUCCAUGUCCCUUGCACUCUCCCAGCUGGCCGUAGGAGAUAACAGAAAGAGCCUUUCAGAGUUGUGGUGGUUGGAAAUGCGUGUUGAGCAGCCUUCCUCUGAGCAAAUAUUUAUAGAAAUUCUACAAAGACUGUGGGAAGCACCACUUCAGAAGAAUCUGGCUAUGUUUUCUACAUGACCAAGACGCAACACACAAGACUUUGAAACAACAUGACCCCCCUGCACAGCAAAAACAGCACUGCAUGAUACCAGCAGACCACUUUUGAUUCAGCUGCUCAGCGACGGAGACAUAUUCUAGGAGUAGUUGAAUACAUUUCUGUUUCUUUUUCCUGCCUCCUCUUUGCAAGCAUUAAAAGAUGUUUGGUUUUCA